AGAAGCUGGCGGUGCCAGAGGAGCUGUGCUACAGUGGGGCAGGUUGGGGAUCCGCAGCUCAGUCUCGGGGCCCAGAUCGAAGCUCCCAACGAGCCAGAGCCCCUCCAGAUCCCACUCCGGCAGCAGGGAGCGAGGGUCAGGCUGGGAUGGUGGGGGGAAGCCCCAGCCCCUCCUCGGCCUCUGGAUCCUCACCCAGCUGCUUUGUUUCUUUGUUUGUUGUGCUGGAAGGUGGGAUAACAUUAACACAGGGCUGCAGGAUUCAUUCUGGCAUGGCAAAUCCUGGAAUGCCUUUGGCGAAAGGUGCUUAAAGGCAUGAAAUUCCCAGCGGCGCCUUUACGCAUCCUCUUCCUCCUCUGUGCUGUUCGGUGGGCCCAAGCCCCCCGGGCAAAGACUCAGACAGAUGCUCAGCGGCGCGAGGCCGGUGGUGGGUGCUGAGGGUGCGAUCCCCUGCAAGUCUCCUCCUGUGUGUGUGACCCAACACGGGAUCAGAACGAGCUCCCUUCACCUCCCCUGAGCAUGAACCGCGCUGUAACAGGCUUCCCCAAACACAGGGAUCAAAAACUGCCUGAGUCAACCUGUGCAAAUCCUGUUUGAGGGAGAGAGCAGAUGUCUCUUAGGACUGAUACUGUUAAUAUUAUGUGCAAAUGAACCAUCUGGCAGCAUUUGAAUUAUUUUUUAUGCUAGCUUAUAGCGUUAUACAGCGGAUAUCUGCUUCUACCCAUUUCACUUCGCGGUGUAGACUGAUCCUCAGCGUGCAAUGCAAAGCACCAAGCCUCCCCGAAGACUUCCCUGUGGGAAAAUAGCUGCAAAAUUAUCCAUGAAUAUUCAUCCUCCCAGUAAACAUGCGGAGGGAAAACCCUGGUAAAGAUAUUCCUCCUUUAUAUCCAUUCUCCUUUAUAUGCAUCCUCCUUUAUAUACAAUCCUUCUUUAUAUGCAUCCUCCUGCAUAUGCAUCCUCCCGUAUAUACGCCCCUGAGCUAACACCUGUGUGUAUUUUACACCCGGCUCCUCCAGAAUAUUAGAAAACUGGGAGAUGGAAUUUGACCAAAACCUGCCCCUUUCACCCUGCAGCACGUGCUGGAAUCCCCCCUUUUAUAUUAUUCAGGCGUUCAACGAAUAAAAUUAACUAAAACGAGCCAAA